AAAAUCCGUCGACUUUAGCAAUCGUGAGGGUUCAAGUCCCUCUA
rnacentral:tRNA from 1 species